rnacentral:tRNA from 1 species
GGGGGUGUGGCUCAGUGGUAGAGCGCUUGCCUAGCAUGGGUGAGGCACUGGGUUCGAUUCCCCAGCACCA